UACGUAGGGUGCGAGCGUUGUCCGGAAUUAUUGGGCGUAAAGAGCUUGUAGGCGGUUUGUCGCGUCUGCCGUGAAAAUUCGAGGCUCAACCUCGAACUUGCGGUGGGUACGGGCAGACUAGAGUGUGGUAGGGGAGACUGGAAUUCCUGGUGUAGCGGUGAAAUGCGCAGAUAUCAGGAAGAACACCGGUGGCGAAAGCGACUAACUGGACACGUAUUGACGCUGAGGUACGAAAGCCAGGGGAGCAAACGGG
rnacentral:rRNA from 1 species